rnacentral:rRNA from 1 species
UACGGGGGGAGCAAGCGUUGUUCGGAUUUACUGGGCGUAAAGAGCUCGUAGGCGGUUUGUCGCGUCUGCUGUGAAAACCUAAGGCUCAACCUUGGGCUUGCAGUGGGUACGGGCAGACUAGAGUGCGGUAGGGGGUGACUGGAAUUCCUGGUGUAGCGGUGGAAUGCGCAGAUAUCAGGGAGGAACACCGAUGGCGAAGGCAGGUCACUGGGCCGCAACUGACGCUGAGGAGCGAAAGCAUGGGGGAGCGAAC